AAUGGGCGAAAGCCUGAUCCAGCAAUGCCGCGUGAGUGAUGAAGGCCUUAGGGUUGUAAAGCUCUUUUACCAGGGAUGAUAAUGACAGUACCUGGAGAAUAAGCUCCGGCUAACUCCGUGCCAGCAGCCGCGGUAAUACGGAGGGAGCUAGCGUUGUUCGGAAUUACUGGGCGUAAAGCGCACGUAGGCGGCUAUUCAAGUCAGAGGUGAAAGCCCGGGGCUCAACCCCGGAACUGCCUUUGAAACUAGAUAGCUUGAAUCUUGGAGAGGCGAGUGGAAUUCCGAGUGUAGAGGUGAAAUUCGUAGAUAUUCGGAAGAACACCAGUGGCGAAGGCGACUCGCUGGACAAGUAUUGACGCUGAGGUGCGAAAGCGUGGGGAGCAAACAGGAUU
rnacentral:rRNA from 1 species